rnacentral:lncRNA from 1 species
GGGUAUUCGACAACAGCAGGUACGGAAAAAAAGUAAAAAAAAAAUCCUCUUAUGCUCAUUUUUAUCAUCUCAUGCCACCGCCCUUUUUCAUUCAGUUAUUUCCCUAUUUUGUUCUCCUACUUCCGCAUUAUUUGUUUUUCUUCCGAAACUACGUAUUAAACAAAGACAAAAGGAGAUUGUAGAUGGGCUUUGUGGAGGAGGUAGGUUGAAUUGUUAUGUUGUUUCUCUUUAUCAUGCAUCUUAGGAUUAGAAAUCUAACUAUAUUUGUAGAUUUGUUUAUGAUCUUUUUUUGCUUUCCUUUGGGGAUAAUUAUGACAGGAUAUUCAAUACGGAAGCUUUUCUAGGCACCUACUACAAAUGGUAUACAAUAAUUGGCUGAAGACCCCAUAUGCUUAUAAAAAAUAAGAUGAAAUUGUUGAUCAGGGUUCAGGAGGACGUGAUGGAGAGGAAGAUAGAUACUAAGGCCAUGACUUGUCGAUAUUGAAGGCCGAUAGAGAAGAGUGG